rnacentral:rRNA from 1 species
GACGGAAGGUGCAAGCGUUGCUCGGAAUCACUGGGCGUAAAGGGCUCGUAGGUGGCCAACUAAGUCAGACGUGAAAUCCCUCAGCUUAACUGGGGAACUGCGUCUGAUACUGGAUGGCUUGAGUUUGGGAGAGGGAUGCGGAAUUCCAGGUGUAGCGGUGAAAUGCGUAGAUAUCUGGAGGAACACCGGUGGCGAAGGCGGCAUCCUGGACCAACACUGACACUGAUGAGCGAAAGCCAGGGGAGCAAACGGG